rnacentral:lncRNA from 1 species
UUGGAGUUUUUGUAUAUUUUUGAAAAAAGAAAUUUAGCAUACCUUUAUCCUCAUAGGUUCUCUCAGAUCACUCAUUUAUCUUUUGUGUAUCUUACUGAGGCUGUUUUAAUUUGCAGAAAUUCUCAAGCAUACUUACCUUUCAUUUAUUGCCUAAUCAAAACGGGAUCCGAGGAGAUGAAUGCCAUACUCUUAGAUCAAAGACUUUGGAAAUUAAAAACUUAUCAACUCUUACUGGCAUAUUGCUUAUUAGAGGGACCAUGGGCUAUCAUUUUCUUUCUCUUCUUCUUUUUUUUCUAGUGGAUAUCGGGGUACCCCUAAUUCUACUACCGGACACUUGUCCAUUUUUUUUCUGCGAGGUUGUCGAGCACUUGCUCCUUUUUAUUUCCUCUAAAUAUUCAUAUUUUUGCAUUGCCCAUGCCUCUAAUGCAAUAAUACUUCAGAAGAGUGAAUUUUUCUGAAUAAAUGUCUUGAUCUUAGGAGCAUGAUAAAUCUCUCAACAAGGGUCUAACUCGUUUUGAACAAACUCAAUAUAGAGCAGAUAACUUUUAUAAUUAUCAUCAUUAAUAUUUUCAGAUUUAGCAGGCAUAUAAAACACUGAGGAUGGUAGCU